GCCUGGGUGGCUCAGUCGGUUGAGCGUCCGACUUCGGCUCAGGUCAUGAUCUCACAGUUCGUGAGUUCGAGCCCCACGUCGGGCU
rfam:Felis catus isolate Cinnamon breed Abyssinian chromosome A3, whole genome shotgun sequence.